CCUACGGGUGGCUGCAGUGAGGAAUAUUGGUCAAUGGACGAGAGUCUGAACCAGCCAAGUAGCGUGAAGGAUGACUGCCCUAUGGGUUGUAAACUUCUUUUAUAUGGGAAUAAAACGUUCCACGUGUGGGAUUUUGUAUGUACCAUAUGAAUAAGGAUCGGCUAACUCCGUGCUAGCAGCCGCGGUAAUACGGAGGAUCCGAGCGUUAUCCGGAUUUAUUGGGUUUAAAGGGAGCGUAGGUGGAUUGUUAAGUCAGUUGUGAAAGUUUGCGGCUCAACCGUAAAAUUGCAGUUGAAACUGGCAGUCUUGAGUACAGUAGAGGUGGGCGGAAUUCGUGGUGUAGCGGUGAAAUGCUUAGAUAUCACGAAGAACUCCGAUUGCGAAGGCAGUUCACUGGACUGCAACUGACACUGAGGCUCGAAAGUGUGGGUAUCAAACAGGAUUAGAUACCCCUGUAGUC
rnacentral:rRNA from 1 species